rnacentral:rRNA from 1 species
AGCGAACGCUGGCGGCAGGCCUAACACAUGCAAGUCGAACGGAAGCACAGUAAGAGCUUGCUCUUACGGGUGGCGAGUGGCGGACGGGUGAGGAAUAUAUCGGAAUCUACUUUUUCGUGGGGGAUAGCGUAGGGAAACUUACGCUAAUACAGCAUACGACCUACGGGUGUAAGCAGUGGAUAUUCGUGCCUGGCGCGUUUGAACGAGCCGAUGUCGGAUUAGAUAGUUGGCGGGGUAAUGGCCCACCAAGGCGAGGAUACGUAGCUGAUCUGAGAGGAUGAUAGGCCACACUGGAACUGAGACGCGGUCCAGACUCCUACGGGAGGACACCGUGGGGACUGUUGGGCCGUGGGCGCGCGCCUGGUCCGGCCGGCCCACGUGGGUGACGAAGGCCUUCGGGUUGUAAAGCCCUUUUGUUGGGAAAGACCCGCAGCCGCUUGCUCCCCCGCUGUUCUGCCGGUCCCCGGUGCCUCCGCCCCGGCUCCCUUCGUG